rnacentral:hammerhead_ribozyme from 1 species
ACACUGCUGAGGAGUCCCAUACCAGGACGAAACGGCCGUCCAGUU